rnacentral:rRNA from 1 species
UACGGAGGGUGCGAGCGUUAAUCGGAAUUACUGGGCGUAAAGGGUGCGUAGGUGGUUUAUUAAGUUAUCUGUGAAAUCCCCGGGCUCAACCUGGGCAGGUCAGAUAAGACUGGUAGACUAGAGUAUAGGAGAGGGUAGUGGAAUUUCCGGUGUAGCGGUGAAGUGCGUAGAUAUCGGAAGGAACAUCAGUGGCGAAAGCGACUUCCUGGACCAGUACCGACGUUCAGGCACGAAAGCGUGGGGAGCAAACAGG